rnacentral:rRNA from 1 species
AAUGGCAGGUCAGCAUACUGCCGUGAAUACGUUCCCGGGCCUUGUACACACCGCCCGUCACACCAUGAGAGUUGGGAAUACCCGAAGCCUGUGAGCUAACAUUUANGAGGCAGCAGUCGAAGGUAGAAUCAAUGAUUGGGGUGAAGUCGUAACAAGGUAGC